UUCUUUUGGUUAAUGGUUUCAGGCAUAAUGGGUCGUUUAAGUCGGACUAUCUAUGUGGGCAAUCUUCCUGGUGAUAUUCGUGAGAGAGAAGUAGAAGAUUUGUUUUACAAGUAUGGGCAUAUCGUGGAAAUUGAUUUGAAAGUUCCUCCUAGACCACCUGGUUAUGCAUUUGUAGAGUUUGAAGAUUCUCGUGAUGCUGAUGAUGCCAUCCAUGGACGCGAUGGCUAUGACUUUGAUGGACAUCGAUUACGAGUUGAACUUGCUCACGGUGGGCAAGGAUCAUCAUCAUAUGAUCGCCACAGCAGUUAUAGUAGUGGGAGUCGUGGCGGAGUUUCUAGGCACUCAGACCAUCGCGUUCUGAUCUCUGGACUACCAUCUUCUGCUUCAUGGCAAGACUUGAAGGAUCACAUGCGUCGAGCAGGAGAUGUCUGUUUCUCUCAAGUUUUUCGAGACCGUGACGGCUUGAGGGGGAUUGUGGACUAUACCAACUAUGAGGAUAUGAAAUAUGCGAUAAGGAAACUUGAUGACUCUCUCUUUCGCAAUCAGUUCUCUCGAGCGUAUAUUAGGGUGGAGGAGUAUGAUAAGAGACGUAGCUAUUCCAGGAGCCCAAGUCCAUAUUAUUCAAGAGGCAGAAGUUACUCAAGAAGCAGGAGUCCUCGACGGAGCUAUAGCAGCCAGAGCAGAAGUGUGUCUCCUAGGGGUAAAUACUCUCGUCGCUCCGCGUCUGUCUCGCGCUCAAGGUCUUUUUCCCCUGCUCGCUCUGUUUCUAGAUCUUGCAUUCCGUGGCGAUCUGGGGAUUGCUUUUUAGGCAGGUGAUGUCCAAUGGUGCUCAAAUUCAGGCAACUCGCUUGGUUGUGGCAGUAAUAUGUUUUAGUGGAUGAGCGCCUCUGGUAAACUCAGGAUGGUAAAUAGCAUUUUAAUAUGUUAUUAAGGAGGAUUUUACUCAAAGCAAUAUAUCAAAUUGUUUUUGGGCUAAUCUCGAGGGCUCUGAACGUGAGAACACUAUUGAAUAGACAAAUAAAAAUUUAAUUUGUUUCUUAGAGCGUGCGGGGCGGUGCAUGCAUUUGUAUGGUAUGACCUCAUAACUUGGACGGACAAUCUCCAGGAAGUGUGUUUCGAUUGGUUUUUGUUUCAAUUUGAUUCUGUUGGUUGAUUGAUAUAGAUUGCUGGCAGCUGUUGCUAACUACUUUGAUUGUGGACGUGGAAGUAGCAUGGAUUCAUUUGGAUCAAAGGUCGUUCUGGAACCUUUUGGCUACAGAAUUCUACUGAUAUUAACUAGGAUUGUUUCUGGUAUUUUUGCAGAUCUCAGUCACGAUCCAGAUCUCCACUGUCACCUCCACAUCGUCGGAAGCAUGCAAGGAGCCCAAGCAGGAGCCUCUCUUAUUCUCGUUCAUCGGGGAGAUCCGACUGAGCCU